rnacentral:rRNA from 1 species
AAAGUCUUCGGAUUUAGAGACCGGCGCACGGGUGCGCUUUGCGUAUGCAAUCUACCUUUCACAGAGGGAUAGCCCAGAGAAAUUUGGAUUAAUACCUCAUAGUAUAUAGAGUUGGCAUCAACACUAUAUUAAAGUCACAACGGUGAAAGAUGAGCAUGCGUCCCAUUAGCUUGUUGGUAAGGUAACGGCUUACCAAGGCUACGAUGGGUAGGGGUCCUGAGAGGGAGAUCCCCCACACUGGUACUGAGACACGGACCAGACUCCUACGGGAGGCAGCAGUGGGGAAUAUUGGACAAUGGGCGCAAGCCUGAUCCAGCCAUGCCGCGUGCAGGAUGACAGUCCUAUGGAUUGUAAACUGCUUUUGCACAGGAAGAAACAACUCUACGUGUAGAGUCUUGACGGUACUGUGAGAAUAAGGAUCGGCUAACUCCGUGCCAGCAGCCGCGGUAAUACGGAGGAUCCAAGCGUUAUCCGGAAUCAUUGGGUUUAAAGGGUCCGUAGGCGGUUUAGUAAGUCAGUGGUGAAAGCCCAUCGCUCAACGGUGG